UGGCAAUGAUUAGAACUUAUCCGCGCUUCUGAUGCUUUUUGCAGAUGAAGUAAAAGGAUUAAAUGGUUGAAUUUCUUGAUAUGAGCCA